rnacentral:tRNA from 1 species
GGUGUAGCUCAGUGGUAGAGUUCAUGUUUAGCAUGCUGAGGCCCUGGGUUCCAUCCCCAGCACC